GUAUAAUUUGUGAAGUUUUGGAACAUAAAAUACAGAUAAAAGCAGAAAUAUCAUUACAAGUAUUUUAAUUCAGAGAUCUAUAAAAACUUUUAGAAAAUAUAUAAACAAAUGAACUAGGAUUGCACUUUUAAACCAAGUAAUAACAAGUUAUUCUGUGAACAUGUCUAUCGAAGUUCACAAUGUACUUUCCAUUUUAUUCUUAUGUAUUAUGGAACUUAAUUGAUGGACACAUCUGACACUGCUAUAAUUUUAUGAGUUACAAUUCAAUUGUUAUAUAUAGAGAGUAUAAAUUAUAUAAGAAAGGACAUCUAAGAAGUCAGUCUUUUGUUAUAAAAUAUGGGACUUAUCAGCUGCUUCAGGUCACAGGGAAUUACAGAGGCCACAUUUAUCCUCCUUCCUUAAAUAAAACCAGACAAAAUAUAUGAAACAACAGUUCUUGGACACUGGACAGCAAACAGCACAGGACAGGGAUUCCUGAGAUAAAGGAUACAAAGAAAGUGAAGUCUAUAUUUGCCCCAGCUACAGAGGGUUUCCAGGCCAGCGUGUAGGGAUAAGAACCCAUACAGUCACUUGCGGUCUCCUUGAGUUGAGCAGACAAGAAUUCAGAGGUCAGGGAAGCCAAGGUAGCUAGAAUUUGCAGGGCAGAAUAUCAGAAAGAAGAGAACUAUCCACCAAAAGUGAGCACUCUGGUGUAUGCACAGGAUUCCCCUAGAGUCUGUAGCUACAUUCUGAUUAAUACAUGCAUGUUAAGGAGGUGACCAAGGCUGGAGAAAGAACCACAAUAGAGAAGCAGGCAGAACAAUCCUCAGAGUUCACACAGGACUGGGAAUAGUUUGCAUUCACACAAGCUGGAGUAGAAAGACCUCGUAAGACAUGCACUGAGUAGUAUGCUGAAGGGUACUGUCUCAGCAGUACCCUUAGGGCCAAAUGAGCCCCUAAGCUAAAAGCUGUUCUGGACCUCCUAACAGAGCCUCAAAAGGUUUACUUUCCAAGGAACUUAACUGCAUCCUAGGAGAACAAUGCCAAAUAUAUUUAAAGUUAAUACAACAAAAUUCAGCACCCAACCAUGUAAAAUUUAUAAUGACCAGCAUCCAAUAAAAAAUUAUAAAGGCAUGCAAAAGAAUGAAGGAAAUAUGACCCAUAACAAGGAGAAGAAACAAUCAAUAGAAACAAAUCCAGAAAUGACACAAUGAUAGAAUGCAUAGACAAUGACAUUAAAAAUAUACUCCCUAGUUCAAGAUCGAGGAAAGAAUGAUCAUGAGGAGGAGAGAAAUGGAAGAUACUAUUUUUUUUCAAAAGACACAAAUUGAACUGAACUUUAAUUGAUUAAAAAUACAAUAUAUGAAACACAAAUAUUCUGAUUGGAAUUAAUAGCAGAUUAGACACUGAAGAAGAUUACUAAAUUUGAAAACAGCAAUAGAAACUAACCAAAAUGAAUCGCAGAGAGAAAAAGACAAAGAAAAACAAACAAACAAAAAAAACAGAACAGUGAAUUAGGGGACAACAUCUAGAAGUCUCACACAGAUGUAACUGGAGUCUCAAGCAAAGGAGAAAGAAGGGGAGACAGAUAAAUGUUUGAAGAAAUAAUGGCCAAAAAUUUCCCAGAUUUGAGCUGUGCACAGUGGUGUGUGCCUGUAAUCCCAGCUACUCAGGAGGCUGAGGCAGGAGAAUUGCUUGAGCCUGGGAGGUGGAGGUUGUGGU
rnacentral:lncRNA from 1 species